AGACCUGCAGAACAAUAACAAUCUCCAGAUCAGAACCACACCUCCCUGCUCCAUCACACUGACUGAGGAGCUCAGAGGUCCAAACCCUGUUCAUACUUGGACAUGCUAGCUGACUGCAGGAGGGCAGGUUCAGACUUCUGUCUACCACACCAUCACAGUGAAAGGUGUUCAACCCACAACUUCCUCUACCUUUGUAUUGAAAUCCUCUCCCAGAAUGAAUACUUUCACCACUGCUUCCUCAAACUCAGGCCCAUCAGUUUCCUCAGAUGUUCCUCUGGUUGCUGUAGUUGUUGUCUCUGUCAGUCUGUUGGCUGCUGCAUUGAUGAUAAUUGUGAUGAUAUGAUAAGGACAAGUGAGUGUGUAACAUGCA